rnacentral:tRNA from 1 species
GAAAAUUUAGUUAAAUAUAUAACAAUAGUUUGUCAUACUAAAAUUAAUAAAUUUUAUUAAUUUUCA